rnacentral:hammerhead_ribozyme from 1 species
AUUCAGUAGACGAGUUCCAAAUAGGACGAAGUGCGCGUCCUGGAU